rnacentral:rRNA from 1 species
CGUACACUCCUACGGGAGGCAGCAGUGGGGAAUAUUGCACAAUGGGCGCAAGCCUGAUGCAGCCAUGCCGCGUGUAUGAAGAAGGCCUUCGGGUUGUAAAGUACUUUCAGCGGGGAGGAAGGCAAUACGGUUAAUAACCGUGUUGAUUGACGUUACCCGCAGAAGAAGCACCGGCUAACUCCGUGCCAGCAGCCGCGGGAAUACGGAGGGUGCAAGCGUUAAUCGGAAUUACUGGGCGUAAAGCGCACGCAGGCGGUCUGUCAAGUCGGAUGUGAAAUCCCCGGGCUCAACCUGGGAACUGCAUUCGAAACUGGCAGGCUUGAGUCUUGUAGAGGGGGGUAGAAUUCCAGGUGUAGCGGUGAAAUGCGUAGAGAUCUGGAGGAAUACCGGUGGCGAAGGCGGCCCCCUGGACAAAGACUGACGCUCAGGUGCGAAAGCGUGGGGAGCAAACAGGAUUAGAAACCCCUGUAGUCCCAU